GAAGCAGGGAUUGUGUGUAUCGGCGUUGUGCUACAAUUGAUGCGCGAUGAAGCCGAAAGAGUUCCCUGCAAUAAUGAUCGAGGGGAAGGUGGGCAGUUGGGUUUCAUCUCUACCAUUGAAAUUCUCAACAAUCAUCUUCCCCACNNNN
rnacentral:ncRNA from 11 species